AAAUAGAACUUUGCAGAGAGAGUUAAGAGGGCGUGAAACCGUUAAUUGGCAAACGAAUCGGAGCCACGAAGUCGUUUCGCUGCUAGUUGGGCUUGGAUCAAUGUCGCUUGCGUUUGCAGGCGAUAUGCACUCUAUAUGCUCAACCAACAUUGUAAGCGUACACUGCAACCAGUUAGACGAUUGUGCACGGAAUUUGGCUUAAGCAAACGUAUUGGCCUCGGUCGAUGCGGCUUGUUUUUUGCGAAAAAAUAUGUUUGUAUGCAGAUGUAAUAGUCGGAGGCAACUUUUGUGGCUGCUUUCUGAUUGUUGGCUGUAUACAAGUGAACCGUGCUUAUGCAAACACUGACUGGCAAAAUGAAAAUCGACUACCUAGUAGUCGUUGUAUCCUAGAGCUGCUAGCGUGCUUAAUAGCUACACGUUUAGCGCGUAAGUCUGUCUAAGUUCAGUGUUUUUGAAUUUGGACUUGCUAGCUACCAGUGGGGCAACUCCUGGUGUUAGUACAGCCUUCCAUCUAAUCGAGCAUUGACUUGGCUUGCGUUUUGAACUGUUUAAACGUGAAUCGAUAGGCUGUUUUGCUCAGCUAGUAGGCAGUUGGAUUGGCAGUGAGUAGGUCGGCUUUCCGAACGACCCGUCUUGAAACACGGACCAAGGAGUCUAAUUAAGUAUCGAGUCGAUCGGUCUUGAAUAGGCCAGAUGUAUAACGAAGGGCUUGACAGCAAUGAAUAUAGCCCUUGUUGAAGGCAAAGAGAAAUCAAAUUUCAUGUGAUUUGUAUACAGCCGCAUAUUAUUGUGCGUGUGUGCAACGCAACAUGUGCCUGCUCGUAUGCCAUUGUUGGCAACAACAUGGCGGGCGGAGUAUAGAGAUACUUGAUUGGUACC
rnacentral:rRNA from 1 species